rfam:Rattus norvegicus chromosome 8, whole genome shotgun sequence.
GGGGAUUUAGCUCAGUGGUAGAGCGCUUGCCUAGCAAGCGCAAGGCCCUGGGUUCGGUCCCCAGCUCCCCCC